UACAGAGGGUGCAAGCGUUGUUCGGAAUUAUUGGGCGUAAAGCGCGUGUAGGCGGCGUGACAAGUCGGGUGUGAAAGCCCUCAGCUCAACUGAGGAAGUGCGCCCGAAACUGUCGUGCUUGAGUGCCGGAGAGGGUGGCGGAAUUCCCCAAGUAGAGGUGAAAUUCGUAGAUAUGGGGAGGAACACCGGUGGCGAAGGCGGCCACCUGGACGGUUACUGACGGCUGAGACGCGAAAGCGUGGGGAGCAAACAGG
rnacentral:rRNA from 1 species